rnacentral:rRNA from 1 species
UACGGGGGGGGCAAGCGUUGUUCGGAAUUACUGGGCGUAAAGGGCUCGUAGGCGGCCAACUAAGUCAGACGUGAAAUCCCUCGGCUUAACCGGGGAACUGCGUCUGAUACUGGAUGGCUUGAGUUUGGGAGAGGGAUGCGGAAUUCCAGGUGUAGCGGUGAAAUGCGUAGAUAUCUGGAAGAACACCAAAGGCGAAGGCAGCAUCCUGGGAAGUAACUGACGCUCAUGUGCGAAAGCGUAGGGGGAGCGAACGGG